rnacentral:tRNA from 1 species
GGCAAUAUGGCCGAGUGGUUAUGGCGUGUGGCUCAAGUCCUCAUCAACGUUAGUUGGCGUGGGUUCAAAUCCCACUGUUGUCA